CAGAGGCAAGAGCAGCAGGAGACCGAGUUAGUGAUCUUAUAAUCACAUCCAUUUACUCCAGUGUGCUCUAUACAAAUACCACUUUUUUUUUUUUUAAUGUAUUCCCUUGACAUUAAAGAGCUGGAAAUCACUGAGAAAAAUGUCAAGAAAAUUUAAAAGCCACUGAGGUGGAGGAACCAGCCAGUUAGAAGGCCUCAUGGACUGGAGAGAGCUUUGUGAGUCAUAGGGAGAAAGGCGGCCAGCAUGGCGGAAGUGCGCACUGGGGAAGAGAUGUAUAAAAUGAGUAGGUGUCACAGUGUUUGGAGAACCAGAUGAAAAAGUCCAAGUUAUCUCUGAAAGUUUCUGUCUUACUUAUGUUGACCUGCACUUUGGAACUGUGUGGAUUCCUCCUAUCACGGGAUCAAUAUCUCGAUAAACAACAAACUUCCCGAAAAGAAAGUUUCAACCUCAAAUCAUGUGUAACUAAAGCUGGACAAAAACCCUCGGGACAAGGUAAAUGGAAAGUGAGUUGGCAACACAACUCACCUAC